rnacentral:misc_RNA from 1 species
GAUGAAGAACGUAGCGAAAUGCGAUACUUGGUGUGAAUUGCAGAAUCCCGUGAACCAUCGAGUCUUUGAACGCAAGUUGCGCCUCAAGCCAUUAGGUUGAGGGCACGUCUGCCUGGGCGUCACAUAUCGUUGCCUGAUGCCAGUUUCCUCGUGAUGGGUGACUGUGCAGGGCGAAUGAUGGCUUCCCGUGAGCAUUGUUGCCUCAUGGUUGGUUGAAAAUUGAGUCCUUGGUAGGGAGCGCCGUGAUAGAUGGUGGUUGAGUGACGAACGAGACCCAAUCAUGUGAUACCCCUACCGAAUUUGGCCUUCAUGACCCACAUGCGUCUUUGGAACGCUCAUGACGAGACCUCAGGUCAGGCGGGGCUACCCGCUGAGUUUAAGCAUAUCAAUAAGCGGAGGA